rnacentral:rRNA from 1 species
CCCUUAGAUGCUCUGGGCCGCACGCGCGCUACACUGGUCGAUGCAACGAGUUUCUUUCCUUGGCCGACAGGCCUGGGCAAUCUUUGAACAUCGAUCGUGAUCGGGAUAGAUUCUUGUAAUUUUUGAUCUUAAACGAGGAAUUCCUAGUAAACGCAAGUCAUCAGCUUGCAUUGAUUACGUCCCUGCCCUUUGUACACACCGCCCGUCGCACCUACCGAUUGAAUGGUCCGGUGAAAUCUUCGGAUCUGAGAGAUGUUGGAUUAAUUUCUGACGCCUUUUGGAAAAGUCGCUUAAACCUUAUCAUUUAGAGGAAGGUGAAGUCGUAACA